UGGGGAAUAUUGGACAAUGGGCGAAAGCCUGAUCCAGCAACGCCGCGUGAGGGAUGACGGCCUUCGGGUUGUAAACCUCUUUCAGCGGGGACGAAGCGAAAGUGACGGUACCCGCAGAAGAAGCACCGGCCAACUACGUGCCAGCAGCCGCGGUAACACGUAGGGUGCAAGCGUUGUCCGGAAUUAUUGGGCGUAAAGGGCUCGUAGGCGGUCCGUCACGUCGGGAGUGAAAACUCGGGGCUCAACCCCGAGCCUGCUUUCGAUACGGGCGGACUAGAGGUAGGUAGGGGAGAACGGAAUUCCUGGUGUAGCGGUGGAAUGCGCAGAUAUCAGGAGGAACACCGGUGGCGAAGGCGGUUCUCUGGGCCUUACCUGACGCUGAGGAGCGAAAGCGUGGGGAGCGAACAGG
rnacentral:rRNA from 1 species